GACAGAGGUCUCAAGCGUUGUUCGGAUUCAUUGGGCGUAAAGGGUGCGUAGGCGGCGCGGUAAGUCGGGUGUGAAAUCUCGGAGCUUAACUCCGAAACUGCAUUCGAUACUGCCGUGCUUGAGGACUGGAGAGGAGACUGGAAUUUACGGUGUAGCGGUGAAAUGCGUAGAUAUCGUAAGGAAGACCAGUGGCGAAGGCGGGUCUCUGGACAGUUCCUGACGCUGAGGCACGAAGGUCAGGGGAGCAAACGGG
rnacentral:rRNA from 1 species